AAAUUUUAACACUAAUCGAGGUAAAACAUUCUGUAAUAGCUCAUUUUUGCCCGGGCCCAACGAAAUAAACCAAAAAUAAAUAAAUUAAUAGUCUCAGUCCAUUUUACAAAAAAAUAAACCCAAAGCCCAAUUAUGCCAGCCCAAUACAACCCUAGCCCACAUAAACAUUCAGCAGAAAAAAGAAAAAAACCCUAGCCUCCCUAACUCUUCAGCCGCCAGCCUCCACGCAUGCCCACUGUCACCACCGCUCGCCUAUCACCGACCACCAUGCGUCUGACGCCCUCUGACACCACCUGCAAAGAGAAAUCAAUUGCAAGACGAUAAAAAAAAUAGAGAUUAACAGUUUGUAUUCGGCUAUAAAAAGCCAAGAACCAAUGCUUGUAAAACUUCUUCUUUUCUUUACGAAGACUAAGAAAUAAAAACCAAAAACUAAGGUGAUUUCCUAGUUUUUUUUUACUUGAAUCUUUCCUUUUUCUUUACUUUCAUUGUUGUUUUUUUAAUUUUUUAAAAACGAAAAUUAAAAAAAAGCAAACAGAAAACGAAAGUUUGAGAGUUGAUUUUUAGUCUUGCCCGAUUGUUUUUUUUCUUUUUUAUUUAUUUAUUCUGUUUUGUUUCUUUCUAACACGAAAAUAAAAGAAGAAAAAGAGGUGUACCUUUGAAAUCACCGAAAAGCGACGAACUUUGGGCGUCCCACCGCCGCAUACGGUGGCGUCCGGUGGUGCUCCGGUGGCUGGGUCCUCGCCGGAUUCCGAGGGCUGAGAGUGUUGAGAGAAUCUUAGAGACUCUCUCUCUGUUUUUGUUGAAAAAUGGAAGUGAAAUGAUUUUUUUUUUCUGUUUUUUCCUAUUUAUAUGGGACCCG
rnacentral:lncRNA from 1 species